rnacentral:rRNA from 1 species
GAGUUUGAUCGUGGCUCAGAUUGAACGCUGGCGGCAGGCCUAACACAUGCAAGUCGAGCGGAUGACGGGAGCUUGCUCCUUGAUUCAGCGGCGGACGGGUGAGUAAUGCCUAGGAAUCUGCCUGGUAGUGGGGGACAACGUUUCGAAAGGAACGCUAAUACCGCAUACGUCCUACGGGAGAAAGCAGGGGACCUUCGGGCCUUGCGCUAUCAGAUGAGCCUAGGUCGGAUUAGCUAGUUGGUGGGGUAAUGGCUCACCAAGGCGACGAUCCGUAACUGGUCUGAGAGGAUGAUCAGUCACACUGGAACUGAGACACGGUCCAGACUCCUACGGGAGGCAGCAGUGGGGAAUAUUGGGCAAUGGGCGAAAGCCUGAUCCAGCCAUGCCGCGUGUGUGAAGAAGGUCUUCGGGAUUGUAAAGCACUUUAAGUUGGGAGGGAGGGCAGUAAGUUAAUACCUUGCUGUUUUGACGUUACCGACAGAAUAAGCACCGGCUAACUCUGUGCCAGCAGCCG